rnacentral:rRNA from 1 species
GAUGAACGCUGGCGGCGUGCCUAAUACAUGCAAGUCGAGCGAAUGGAUUAAGAGCUUGCUCUUAUGAAGUUAGCGGCGGACGGGUGAGUAACACGUGGGUAACCUGCCCAUAAGACUGGGAUAACUCCGGGAAACCGGGGCUAAUACCGGAUAAAAUUUUGAACCGCAUGGUUCGAAACUGAAAGGCGGCUUCGGCUGUCACUUAUGGAUGGACCCGCGUCGCAUUAGCGAGUUGGUGAGGUAACGGCUCACCAAGGCAACGAUGCGUAGCCGACCGGAGAGGGUGAUCGGCCACACUGGGACUGAGACACGGCCCAGACUCCUACGGGAGGCAGCAGUAGGGAAUCUUCCACAAUGGACGAAAGUCUGAUGGAGCAACGCCGCGUGAGUGAUGAAGGUUUUCGGAUCGUAAAACUCUGAUGUAAGGGAAGAACACGUACAAGAGGAAAUGCUCGUACCUUGACGGUACCUUACGAGAAAGCCACGGCUAACUACGUGCCAGCAGCCGCCGUAA